AUGCAGGUGGAGAUAUUUCUCCAGGCUGUAUACUUGUGGAAACCAAAUUGACGUUUAAGCGACCUGUAAGGUCGCUGGACACAAGGCCGCCGUGAGGCGGUUUUUUUA
rnacentral:sRNA from 1 species